rnacentral:rRNA from 1 species
GCAUGCCUACAACAUAGCGUUAAUGCACCGGAUCCCAUUUAAACUCUGCAGUUAAGCACGCUCAGGCUAGAGUAGUACUGGGAUGGGUGAUUGCCUGGGAAGUCCUAGUGUUUUACAUGCC